GAUGAACGCUGGCGGCGUGCCUAAUACAUGCAAGUCGAGCGAACAGAUAAGGAGCUUGCUCCUUUGACGUUAGCGGCGGACGGGUGAGUUACACGUGGAUAACCUACCUAUAAGACUGGGAUAACUUCGGGAAACCGGAGCUAAUACCGGAUAACAUAUUGAACCGCAUGGUUCAAUAGUGAAAGGCGGCUUUGCUGUCACUUAUAGAUGGAUCCGCGCCGUAUUAGCUAGUUGGUAAGGUAACGGCUUACCAAGGCAACGAUACGUAGCCGACCUGAGAGGGUGAUCGGCCACACUGGAACUGAGACACGGUCCAGACUCCUACGGGAGGCAGCAGUAGGGAAUCUUCCGCAAUGGGCGAAAGCCUGACGGAGCAACGCCGCGUGAGUGAUGAAGGUCUUCGGAUCGUAAAACUCUGUUAUCAGGGAAGAACAAAUGUGUAAGUAACUGUGCACAUCUUGACGGUACCUGUUCAGAAAGCCACGGCUAACUACGUG
rnacentral:rRNA from 1 species